GGGUUGUGAGGUUAAGCGACUAAGCGUACACGGUGGAUGCCCUGGCAGUCAGAGGCGAUGAAGGACGUGCUAAUCUGCGAUAAGCGUCGGUAAGGUGAUAUGAACCGUUAUAACCGGCGAUUUCCGAAUGGGGAAACCCAGUGUGUUUCGACACACUAUCAUUAACUGAAUCCAUAGGUUAAUGAGGCGAACCGGGGGAACUGAAACAUCUAAGUACCCCGAGGAAAAGAAAUCAACCGAGAUUCCCCCAGUAGCGGCGAGCGAACGGGGAGCAGCCCAGAGCCUGAAUCAGUGUGUGUGUUAGUGGAAGCGUCUGGAAAGGCGCGCGAUACAGGGUGACAGCCCCGUACACAAAAAUGCACAUGCUGUGAGCUCGAUGAGUAGGGCGGGACACGUGGUAUCCUGUCUGAAUAUGGGGGGACCAUCCUCCAAGGCUAAAUACUCCUGACUGACCGAUAGUGAACCAGUACCGUGAGGGAAAGGCGAAAAGAACCCCGGCGAGGGGAGUGAAAAAGAACCUGAAACCGUGUACGUACAAGCAGUGGGAGCACGCUUAGGCGUGUGACUGCGUACCUUUUGUAUAAUGGGUCAGCGACUUAUAUUCUGUAGCAAGGUUAACCGAAUAGGGGAGCCGAAGGGAAACCGAGUCUUAACUGGGCGUUAAGUUGCAGGGUAUAGACCCGAAACCCGGUGAUCUAGCCAUGGGCAGGUUGAAGGUUGGGUAACACUAACUGGAGGACCGAACCGACUAAUGUUGAAAAAUUAGCGGAUGACUUGUGGCUGGGGGUGAAAGGCCAAUCAAACCGGGAGAUAGCUGGUUCUCCCCGAAAGCUAUUUAGGUAGCGCCUCGUGAAUUCAUCUCCGGGGGUAGAGCACUGUUUCGGCAAGGGGGUCAUCCCGACUUACCAACCCGAUGCAAACUGCGAAUACCGGAGAAUGUUAUCACGGGAGACACACGGCGGGUGCUAACGUCCGUCGUGAAGAGGGAAACAACCCAGACCGCCAGCUAAGGUCCCAAAGUCAUGGUUAAGUGGGAAACGAUGUGGGAAGGCCCAGACAGCCAGGAUGUUGGCUUAGAAGCAGCCAUCAUUUAAAGAAAGCGUAAUAGCUCACUGGUCGAGUCGGCCUGCGCGGAAGAUGUAACGGGGCUAAACCAUGCACCGAAGCUGCGGCAGCGACGCUUAUGCGUUGUUGGGUAGGGGAGCGUUCUGUAAGCCUGUGAAGGUGUGCUGUGAGGCAUGCUGGAGGUAUCAGAAGUGCGAAUGCUGACAUAAGUAACGAUAAAGCGGGUGAAAAGCCCGCUCGCCGGAAGACCAAGGGUUCCUGUCCAACGUUAAUCGGGGCAGGGUGAGUCGACCCCUAAGGCGAGGCCGAAAGGCGUAGUCGAUGGGAAACAGGUUAAUAUUCCUGUACUUGGUGUUACUGCGAAGGGGGGACGGAGAAGGCUAUGUUGGCCGGGCGACGGUUGUCCCGGUUUAAGCGUGUAGGCUGGUUUUCCAGGCAAAUCCGGAAAAUCAAGGCUGAGGCGUGAUGACGAGGCACUACGGUGCUGAAGCAACAAAUGCCCUGCUUCCAGGAAAAGCCUCUAAGCAUCAGGUAACAUCAAAUCGUACCCCAAACCGACACAGGUGGUCAGGUAGAGAAUACCAAGGCGCUUGAGAGAACUCGGGUGAAGGAACUAGGCAAAAUGGUGCCGUAACUUCGGGAGAAGGCACGCUGAUAUGUAGGUGAAGUCCCUCGCGGAUGGAGCUGAAAUCAGUCGAAGAUACCAGCUGGCUGCAACUGUUUAUUAAAAACACAGCACUGUGCAAACACGAAAGUGGACGUAUACGGUGUGACGCCUGCCCGGUGCCGGAAGGUUAAUUGAUGGGGUCAGCGCAAGCGAAGCUCUUGAUCGAAGCCCCGGUAAACGGCGGCCGUAACUAUAACGGUCCUAAGGUAGCGAAAUUCCUUGUCGGGUAAGUUCCGACCUGCACGAAUGGCGUAAUGAUGGCCAGGCUGUCUCCACCCGAGACUCAGUGAAAUUGAACUCGCUGUGAAGAUGCAGUGUACCCGCGGCAAGACGGAAAGACCCCGUGAACCUUUACUAUAGCUUGACACUGAACAUUGAGCCUUGAUGUGUAGGAUAGGUGGGAGGCUUAGAAGUGUGGACGCCAGUCUGCAUGGAGCCGACCUUGAAAUACCACCCUUUAAUGUUUGAUGUUCUAACGUUGACCCGUAAUCCGGGUUGCGGACAGUGUCUGGUGGGUAGUUUGACUGGGGCGGUCUCCUCCUAAAGAGUAACGGAGGAGCACGAAGGUUGGCUAAUCCUGGUCGGACAUCAGGAGGUUAGUGCAAUGGCAUAAGCCAGCUUGACUGCGAGCGUGACGGCGCGAGCAGGUGCGAAAGCAGGUCAUAGUGAUCCGGUGGUUCUGAAUGGAAGGGCCAUCGCUCAACGGAUAAAAGGUACUCCGGGGAUAACAGGCUGAUACCGCCCAAGAGUUCAUAUCGACGGCGGUGUUUGGCACCUCGAUGUCGGCUCAUCACAUCCUGGGGCUGAAGUAGGUCCCAAGGGUAUGGCUGUUCGCCAUUUAAAGUGGUACGCGAGCUGGGUUUAGAACGUCGUGAGACAGUUCGGUCCCUAUCUGCCGUGGGCGCUGGAGAACUGAGGGGGGCUGCUCCUAGUACGAGAGGACCGGAGUGGACGCAUCACUGGUGUUCGGGUUGUCAUGCCAAUGGCACUGCCCGGUAGCUAAAUGCGGAAGAGAUAAGUGCUGAAAGCAUCUAAGCACGAAACUUGCCCCGAGAUGAGUUCUCCCUGACCCUUUAAGGGUCCUGAAGGAACGUUGAAGACGACGACGUUGAUAGGCCGGGUGUGUAAGCGCAGCGAUGCGUUGAGCUAACCGGUACUAAUGAACCGUGAGGCUUAACCUUACAACGCCGAAGCUGUU
rnacentral:rRNA from 1 species